rnacentral:lncRNA from 1 species
UGUAGAUGUUGUUUUAUUUCUUUAUUUAGUUUAUAAAGGACAGUGUGCACUUAAAUUAAUCAUUCAUGAGAAUGUGUACAUGUGUACAUCUGCAUAACUGUGAAAACGUUGAGAUUGUAGAAAUUGGUUGUAGACCUACACAUUUUAUGCUACAUGACUCAUUACUCCCAUCUUCUUUUUCUUAAUGACUACUAAGUGAAAACGCUGCCAGACAAGUGACUAGUAAAUUUCCUCUGUACUAUUUCAGGCACCCUGUGAAGAACCAUCUGACCCAAACUUGACGAAAAGUGAGCCAGUCUCAGAAAAGGACGUCUGUGAUGGGGUUGAUAUGAUGGCAACGGACAUCUGUGAUGGGGUUGAUAUGAUGGCAGCGGUUAGUUCAACUCCCGCAACAUCCAAAGACGACACUUGCCACCAUAUACUUACCAGCGCAUUUGUCAACGCUUUGGACCAUUGUGAAGCUUGCAAUGGACCUGUCUCCGCUCUAAGAUGGCUUGGUUACACAUGCAAAUUGUGUUCAAGGUCGUGGCACAAAUCCUGCUUUAUCAAGAUGAAUCCGUUGCAGGUAUGUUCAUUGUCUUCUAUUCCAUUUUAAAUUUG